AAGCCAUGAUGAGGGCAUUGGUUGGUGUAACCCUUGAAACGCCUUCUUGCAAUCAUCCCAGGUGGUGAUUGAGUCA
rnacentral:snoRNA from 1 species